rnacentral:tRNA from 1 species
GGGGAUUUAGCUGAGCAGCAUAAGCACCUGCCUUACAAGCAUGCAGUCAUGAGUUCAAUCCCUA